UAAGACGUAGGGGGCGAGCGUUAUCCGGAAUUAUUGGGCGUAAAGGGCGUGUAGGCUGCUCUUUAAGUCUGUUGUGAAAUCUCCCUGCUCAACGGGGAGGGGGCAGCAGAAACUGGAGGGCUUGAGGGCAGCAGAGGGGGGUGGAAUUCCCGGUGUAGUGGUGAAAUGCGUAGAUAUCGGGAGGAACACCAGUGGCGAAGGCGGCCCCCUGGGCUGCACCUGACGCUGAGGCGCGAAAGCGUGGGGAGCAAACAGGAUUAGAUACCCUGGUAGUCCACGCCGCAAACGAUGGACACUAGGUAUGGGGGGUAUCGACCCCCUCCGUGCCGAAGCUAACGCUUUAAGUGUCCCGCCUGGGGAUUACGGCCGCAAGGCUG
rnacentral:rRNA from 1 species